CCUACGGGUGGCUGCAGUCGAGGAUCUUCGUCAAUGGGCGAAAGCCUGAACGAGCGAUGCCGCGUGCGCGAUGAAGGCCUUCGGGUUGUAAAGCGCGAAAGUGGGGAGAAAACCGAAAGGUUGAUCUAUCCACAGUAAGCUCGGGCUAAGUUCGUGCCAGCAGCCGCGGUAAGACGAACCGAGCGAACGUUGUUCGGAAUCACUGGGCUUAAAGGGCGCGUAGGCGGGCUGUCAAGUCUGGGGUGAAAUCCCGCGGCUCAACCGUGGAACUGCCUCAGAUACUGACGGUCUCGAGGGAGGUAGGGGCGAGCGGAACUGAUGGUGGAGCGGUGAAAUGCGUUGAUAUCAUCAGGAACUCCGGUGGCGAAGGCGGCUCGCUGGACCUCUUCUGACGCUGAGGCGCGAAAGCCAGGGGAGCAAACGGGAUUAGAUACCCUAGU
rnacentral:rRNA from 1 species